CUCUCUCACAAAACACAGCGCCCCUUCUCCUCUUUCAGCUCGUUCUUCUCUCUCGGUGCCGCCACCGACAUCACCCACAUUCUCCUCCGAGCAAUUGUCAGUGCCGCCGGCAUCGCUUCCAGUAUUAUUCGAUUAUUUCUCUAAUUUUUUUUACUUUUAUUUUCAAGUAUGGGUCCUCUCUCUCUCUCUCUCUCUCUCUCUCUCUCACUCAAUUUCUCUGUUUUUCUUUCUUUGUUACUAAUUUCCCUUACCUAUUGAACAUCUGCACUCAUUAAAUUUCAUCAGAAUUACAAACUUUAAACAUCUAUUUGAAACAACAAUGGAAGAACCUCAUUGGAACCCUACCCUUUGAAUUCAAUUGAACUGUGCAUCGAAGAUUUAAUUGGUUUGUAGGUUCUGUAAUUUUUGUUGAUAGUCAUUUAUCCCAAAUCCUACGAGAUUUACAGUGAUUGCUUAUGAAUAAUGAAUUCCAUGUUUUAAUUUGAAGGUUCAUACCUGGAGCAGUGGUCAAUGUGACUAUUUCUACUUGUGGUUGAACAUUCUUUAUGUUACUUCUCUCUCUCUCUCUCUCUCUCUCUCACACACACACACACACACACACACACACACAAACACACACACACUCUCACACUGCAGUUUGAAGGAAAUAAGUAUAUCUAUACUAAUGUGUAUUUCAAUUCAAUUGCUAGGGAUGCUGUGGUAACAAUGAACAUAUGAAGCUUAAGAUAUAUAAAUAUAGUAAGGUAUAAUGAAUUUAUCUUAGUGUUUAUGAACACAAUAGUUUGAAGGCACUAUGAAUGGAAUCCAAAAUGGGUUUUGUUCAAUAGCUGUUAUGCCUUAUCUGUUAAGGCUACUCAACCCCAGCCUUGGUCCAUAGCUGUGCUUACUACCAUAAGUCUUAAACUUGGACUAUUGGUUUUCAAUAGAGUGGCCAGUCAAUAACUCUAGCCCACCAUGCUGGUUGUCUCAUCAUGACUUAAUGCCUCUCCAUUAUAACACCUUAAAUAUUUCUUACAAUUCUGUUUUAUGUUUCUAUGACUUUUAAUUAGUUGCUACAUUGACAAUUGGUGCCGAGUAUGGUUUUGUUUCAUUUGCUGAUCAUGAUGAUGCUUUUGAGGAAAUUCUCAUUCUUUGUUUCUCUAUUUAGUCUUCAUGUUCCAAAAUCCAAAUCCGUUAUCGCUUGAGGAACGGAUGGGGUACAAAACAGCAGGAUGGUAUACCUAUCAUUCUACGAGGGUAAAAUUUACAAUUUGUGAGGAUCAUCAUAACAUUACUGGGAAGGGAAACAUUAUUUUUUGAUCACCUGGAUGGGAUGCAUUUCUUUGUCUCUAGUGAACCUUGCAGUUGGAUCUGAGGACGCAGAAUUAGAGUUGCCACUUGAAAUACUGUUAGUCUAUUUUGUAGAUGCACAUAUGAGGAGAUUUAAGAAAAAGAGAAGAAACAGGUAUAAAGAAUUUGGUGGUGUAAAUAAUUUUACUUCAUCAAAUGAAAUAUUGAUAUUAAAACACUAUAUGAUGGAAGAAAGAAAAUAGAAUUUAAAGAUAACACUAGUUGCAGUCUGAUUGUUCUAUACUACACACGGGUACCUACGUUCAUAAAUGUACCCAUGCUGACAUAUUUGUGGAUAAUAUGGAAUAAAAUAAUUUCAUGGAGGGCUUUUUUGAGUCGAAAUUCUUAACAAUUGUAUGUGGCUGGACUGGCAGCUUGACCUGAUUGCUUCCAAACUGUUUAUUGAAAUUUGAAUUACAAGAUUAUGGCACCUUCAGGAGUUUAGAAAAAGAAAAAGAAAGAAUUUAAUAGUCUUUUGAAAUACAGUGGUUCUCCCUUCGGUGCGUCCCCCCCCCCCCAACUUUUUCCAUUUUCCUUUCCAAAUUCCUUCUCAAAUCCGUGAACCAAACACAAGAUAUGAAAAGAUAAAUGUUAUUCCACAUCUAUGUAAAUGCGUGUGUAAAUUGUUAGGUGAAAAAUUAGAUAACUCUAACAUUAUUCAUGAAAAAGAGAAAUUCUCAAACAAUGGCUUGGCAUCUCACAAAUAAAUUUGAGUCAUUCUUUCCAUACCAUUGCCUAUUGUGACAGUAAAUAUCAUUGUUGUACGAAAAAUGUUGAGCAAAUUUGAUUAAAAUAAUAAAAAACAGUAAAUAAAAAAUUCAAGUGAAAGUGAGUUAGUUGCAAACAUCAGCUUGACAUAUGAGGGCAAGUCCUACUAUCAGCUGAAAAUAGAAAAGUGUUGGAUCAACUUAAAAUAGCUUGGAUUGUUGACUCAAGAGUAGUUUAGGUGUGAUUUAUUGAAAUGUCCAUCAUAUUUGAAAGCUGGAUUUUAUUGUCAAACAAUCAUUGGUUUCAAUACAAAACUAAAAAGUCAAAUCAUAAAAGUAUGACUUUGCCUUAGUGACAUCCUUAUAGAGGCAAAUGGUAAAUUCGGACACCACUAGCAAUGUAUAGUCAAAAACCUUCCUCAAUUGUAACUAGUUGAACUUGCGCAAAAUUAUGAAUUAAAUGUUCAGCUUGCUGAUUCAAUUUUUUAAUGCUCAAUUGCUUUGUCUAUUUUCUCUUGUGAUUUAUGUGUGGUUGUCAUUUAUAUAACUCGGCAUAAUCAUUGAACUUCAAAUUAUUUUUAAAUUAAAAUUUUUAGUUUUGAUUUUUUUUGUUAUAUAUAAAAUUUGUCCUGUUCAUCUAACUUCAAUUAACUCGGCAUAGUCAGACAUGGACAAGAUUUGGUUGGCACUACAUAGCACAGUUGAUGGAAGGAUAAGUCGGCCAUAUUGUAAUGGGAUUUCUGCUACUUUGAAGACAUCGAUUGGUUAAUUCACUCUCUAUCAAGCUAAGAGGUUGCCUAGAGCUCAGCCUGCUCAGAAUCCUGCAGGAUGGUUCUUGUGGACAGACCAAUAGAAGGAUCCCGAUCUGCACCAUGUUGUGCCUAAUAUUUGACUAUUUUGAUGCCUGUCUUCCCUGGACAGCUAUGUUACAUUCGUAAGAACCUGUUCCAUGCAGUUUUUGUUUUGGAUCCUGGUUCAGCUUGCGGUCUUGAAGCAAUCCAUUGACAUGAUUAUUUCUUUGUAUGAGAAUAAUCUUCCAAUGAGAUUUGGGGUGAUAUUGUUCUCUAAGAAGUUCAUCAAGAUGAUUGAAAUGAAUGAUGGCAAAAUCCCAGCAGCUCCCAUGAGUAAUGAUGAUGUAUCCAGUCUGAUCAUACGUCUUUUUAUUUAAAUUAAGGAACAUCACGGGAUUCACAUGGCUUUCCAGUUUUUGAGCAAUAUAAAUAAAUUACGAAUUGAGUCAGCAGAUCCUACAGAAGAUGCUCCUGAAAUGCAUCAUGUGGAAGGGGCAUUUGUUGAAACAUUAUUACCAAAGGCUAAAUCUCCCCCUCAAGAUGCUUUACUAAAACUGGAAACAGAGCAAACUUUCACUGAACUAUCUCAAGAGAGCUCAUGUUUGUUUUUAAGCUGGGUUUAGUUAAGCUCCAAUGCUGCCUCUUGAUGAAUGGGCUUGUUGUUGAUGCUAAUGAGAUUUCUGUCAGCAUGUCGUAUAUGCUCUUACAAGAGAUAUGGGUUCUUAAGUUGGAUUCUUCAUGAUCUCCCAUGACCAUUAGCACAAGAAUGACAUAUUUAGUUUAGAAGGCAAAGUUGAUUAUUCUUCUUUGUAACUUUACAUAUGAUUGGCUACUUUUCUUCUCUUUUACUUUUGAUCCCUGGUUUUGUAACUCUCUUCCAGGUAAAUCAACCCUUUAGCCUUACUAGACUUCUGUCACUCCUAGUUUUCAAAAUUUGUAAAGUCUUACGUCUCAUGAACGAUGAAAGGGAUGUGAUGAAUCAUUGUGUCAUUCACAUCAUGGAUGAUGCUUUAAAAUUAUACGUUUAUUAUGGAUUGAAUGAAUUAUUA